GACGAACGCUGGCGGCGUGCUUAACACAUGCAAGUCGAACGGAAAGGCCCUGCUUUUGUGGUGUUCUCGAGUGGCGAACGGGUGAGUAACACGUGAGUAACCUGCCCUUGACUUUGGGAUAACUUCAGGAAACUGGGGCUAAUACCGGAUAGGAUCUCCUGCUGCAUGGUGGGGGUUGGAAAUUUUCGGCGGUUGGGGAUGGACUCGCGGCUUAUCAGCUUGUUGGUUGGGUAGUGGCUUACCAAGGCUUGGAAGGGUAGCCGGCCUGUGAGGGGGACCGGCCACAUUGGGACUGAGAUACGGAGCAGAGUGCUACGUGAGGCAGCAGGGGGGAAUAUGGCACAGUGAGCGGAAGCCUGAUGCAGAAGCGCCGCGUGCGGGAUGACGGCCUUCGGGUUGUAAACCGCUUUCGCCUGUGACGAAGCGUGAGUGACGGUAAUGGGUAAAGAAGCACCGGCUAACUACGUG
rnacentral:rRNA from 1 species